rnacentral:rRNA from 1 species
UACCAGCACCCCGAGUGGUCGGGACGUUUAUUGGGCCUAAAGCAUCCGUAGCCGGUUCUGCAAGUCUUCCGUUAAAUCCACCUGCUUAACAGAUGGGCCACGGAAGAUACUAUAGAGCUAGGAGGCGGGAGAGGCAAGCGGUACUCGAUGGGUAGGGGUAAAAUCCGUUGAUCCAUUGAAGACCACCAGUGGCGAAGGCGGCUUGCCAGAACGCGCUCGACGGUGAGGGAUGAAAGCUGGGGGGAGCAAACCGG